rnacentral:rRNA from 1 species
AAUGGACGGAAGUCUGAACCAGCCAUCCCGCGUGCAGGAUGAAGGUCCUAUGGAUUGUAAACUGCUUUUAGCAGAGACGAAACGCCGACAUUUAUGUUGGUCUGACGGUAUCUGCGGAAUAAGCACCGGCUAACUCCGUGCCAGCAGCCGCGGUAAUACGGAGGGUGCAAGCGUUAUCCGGAAUCACUGGGUUUAAAGGGUGCGUAGGCGGAUGAUUAAGUCAGUGGUGAAAGCUGGUCGCUUAACGAUCAAACUGCCAUUGAUACUGAUUGUCUUGAAUUGGGUUGAGGUUAGCGGAAUGUGACAUGUAGCGGUGAAAUGCAUAGAUAUGUCAUGGAACACCAAUUGCGAAGGCAGCUAACUGGGCCUUGAUUGACGCUGAGGCACGAAAGCGUGGGUAGCGAA